AUUAGUACCUAGACUAAGUGUGCAUGGCUAUGGAUGCCACGUGCACUCCCCCAUGCAUGCUUAUCUGGUUGAGGGUGGCUCUAAUUAAUUUAGUUUUUGCUUUCUCUCUUUAGUGUGAAGUAGAGAACCACACGAGGUGGAGCUUGGGGGAGUAGCCGUGGAUCUCGGAUUCAACGUCGACAUCGCGCCGCGGAGCCGUUCGAGGAUACGGUUGCAGUCGUAGCAUCGCGAGGAGUCCGGGCGAGGGCGUGGUUUCGCCGUUCUCGACGUCGCCCCGCGUUGGAUUUAGCAUACGAGGUGGGUUUAUCAUCGGAAUCCUACUCCUAUAAUAUUGUUCAUCGACAUGUAUCGUUAAUAUUACAAGUUGUUAUUGUUUGUUUAGCUCAAAUUCAUAAGUAGGUAUGUUUUAGACAUAUAAACUGAAUUGGGAGCAUGUUAUUAGUUGUUAUUAAUCAUACAUGUGGGACUUGGAUAAAACAUAGGAGAAAAUCAGCGUUCGGAAUCUGGCAUAUGUUGAAUUACCUGAUUUAGCCUUAGGGGCCGUUGUAUUUUUAUACAGUUAUUGUAUUCGGGUUGUGAGUACCCCAGGUAGUUUAGAAGGCAUUUACGCUCGUGCUGAGAUGCCGAGCUUAUUUUUCAGCAGAGUUUAGGCUGUUUCGGGUCGUUGGGUGCCGUUCGGGUUAGCGGUGGACCCAGAUUCUUGUUUUGGUCACAGAUUGUGCCGAGGGCACGUGGGUUUGGUUUGUAGACCUGUUUUGACCCUGUUUACUUGACUUUGGCUAGUUGGAGCCUGUUUGAGCUCGACAGAGAUACGCUGCAUACUCGGUUGGGUAGCGCCCACGAGUGCCACUCCGGAGUCAGGCUUUGUGCUUUCGCGUUGGUGUCGCUCAUGCCAGUUGGACUUGCUCUCCACGGACCAGUUAGUGUGGAUAGAGCUUGACAGUCACAACGGGGCAGGGACGGGUGUAUUCACAGUCCCGGGGACGGGUAUGCUUACAGUCCCGAUUGGAUUGGGUCAGGUUGGACAUUUCCUACAGUUGGUUAGUGUAGAGCAUGAUAGUGUAGUAUUUGAUAGCGGUAGACUUUAUUCCUGCAUUUCACUACUAUUCUUGCUCCCUUCUGUAGACUUAGUGGGUAGACCGAUGUUGUUUUGGGCGGUACCCACUGAGGACUACUUGUUUUUACAGUAGUUCUCACGCCCAGUUGUUACCUAUGUUUUUGCAGAGCCACAGGUUCCGGCUGCUGCACCGUCCGCGGAUCAGGAUCGAGGCAAGGGCGUUGCGAGUUAGAGCCCUACCCGACGUGCUGAGCUAGAGGUGCUCCUACUGCAGGUAGAUGUUUUGUUUCGAGUUUAUGUACAUAGUGGACUUAACUCGCCAGUGCGAGUAGCUUUGUAUUUUGGAUCUGGACUAUGUAUAUGAAACUCAGUUUGUUUAGCUUCUGUUCUCUCCAGCAGCUCUCUACUACUGUUCGUGGUAGUGUUUGAUUUUCUGGUACAGCUAUCGCUUCGUAUACAGGGAAAAUUCCUUUGUAUACGGCGGAUUUGUCGGCGCGCCCGGGGAAAGUGUAAUCCGGGGCGUGACAGAUUAAUUUGGUAUCAGAGCUUAGCUAUAGGUCGUUGGGACCUAGAAAACCUAAGUUUGGCGAACCUUAGGAAAGCAAGACGCGAGAGGCGGAAUUUAUUGCGAAAGUCAAUGAUUAUUUGUUCUAACUCCUCCUAGAGUGGAGUGAGUGACUGAAGGAGUUCCUGUUUUGGCCUGAGAAAUUAUGUUGGCUGCAGACGACAUAAUUUUGGAGGGAAACAGGGACCGCCUUCUAGACUUUCGUUGAUUGGGUCGAUAGUGUUGUGUUGUAUCUGACCCCGAUUUGUUCUUUUCAGCUAUGUAUCGUCGCCGAGGUCGACCGUCGUUGCGGGAGCGUGCCCAGUUGGCGCGGGAUCGUGUGGGAUCUCCCGAGAUGCCUGAGCAGGCAGAGGCGAGUGCACCCCCAGUUGUAGAGCAGAGGGCCCGACCGGAGGCGAGUGCAUCCCCAGAUUUGAGUGCACAGUUGGCUGCCCUGACUGAGGUGACGAGACAGCAGGGGGAGCUAUUGCAGAGGUUGUGUGAGAGGAUAGCUCAGCCACCGAGUUCUGUACCGAGGGCACCAGAGUCGCCAGUUCCACCCCCGACUACUCCAGUGACAGCACCAGCUGCAGCAGUUCCUCCAUCGGCAGCAGUUCCAGUAGCGCCAGUUGCGCCUGCUAGGGGGCCAGUACCGUUGACUGAGGCUGAGCAGGAGCGGUGGACGGAGAGGUUAGCUCGUUUUCGCCGAUUUGAUCCACCGAUCUUCGAUGGCAGAGGCACUGAGGCCUGGAUUGUUGAGGGAUGGGUCAGUGCGAUGGAGAAGUUAUUCGAGGAUCUGUUCGUUCCAGAGGGGGAGCAGGUACCCCUGGGAGUACACUGUCUAGCAGGUGAUGCUCAUGACUGGUGGCGGAGAACGAGGCGAGACCAGGGGCUAGUGGCGGCGCAGCUGAGUUGGGAUGAGUUCUGUGGAAUGCUGUUUGGGAUGUUCUUUCCCAACAGUGUGAAGCAGAAGCUCGAGGAGGAUUUGAGGAGGCUUCAGCAGGGAGAUCGCCCAGUGCAGGAGUACGUUCGGGAGUUUACUCGACUCCUGAACUGUGUACCAUUUGCGGCCAGAGACGAGGCGCACAGAGUAUACAUGUUCGAGCAGGGGCUGAGACCGGACAUCUUCAGGUUAGUGCGGGCGCAGAGGUCGAGGACCCUGGAUGCGUCCAUAGAGCAGGCCCUAUGGGUGGAGAGAGGUGAGGUGUCGCUGCAGGAGAGGACUCAGGCCGUGGGGCAGGGUCAGGACAGGAAGCGCCCCUUUCCAGAUGACGGAGGGCAGUCGAGCAGCAGACGUCCGCCGAGACCUCCACGAUCACGUUCUCAGGGUCGUGGGUCUUCGGGGCGUCAGCGUUCCAGGGGAUCCCGUCAGCAGGGGCAGACUCAGAGGACGCCACAGUGUGUGAUCUGCGGGGGACCACACUGGCCUCGGCAGUGCGAGCAGAGAGAGGGCAGGUGCUACGGAUGUGGUCAGCCGGGACACAUGAGGGCAGCUUGUCCCCGAGCAGCAUCUCCAGCACCGUCAUCAGCUUCGGCACCACCAGCACCACAGCAGUCUUACGGAGCAGCACCGAGCUACCGCCAGGAGGACAGAUCGUCUGUGCCGCGGUCGAGUGAGCGGCGACAGCAGGCUCCGAGUGGCAGGGUCUAUGCAGCUCAGGUGGAGGACUCUUCAGCAGCCGACCGAGUGGUGGCAGGUAUCACUUUGAUUUCUGGCAUUAGAGUUCGCACUCUUUUUGAUACCGGUGCAUCGCAUUCCUUUGUUAGCCGAGCAUUUGCAUUGUUGCAUGGUCUAGAGUUAGGAGCGUUGUCUCAGGCACGAGAGGUGCAGAUCCCCGACCAUGUCUUGCAGGUUACAGAGUGUUGUUGGUCCUGUCCGGUGCAGUUAGACUCUUGGAUCAUGCCCGCAGACCUGUUGGUGUUAGGGCAGCUGCAGGACUUCGACGUAGUGCUCGGUAUGGAUUGGCUGGCGCGGUACUAUGCUACGAUCGACUGUGGAGCGAGGACGGUGACGUUCCGCGAGCCAGGCCAGGAGGAGUUUACUUUCAGAGGCUGCAGGAGCACGCUGUUUGCCACCUGGAUAUCUUCGGCGAGGGCUCGACAGAUGCUGAGCAGUGGGUGUAUCGCUUUCCUAGCGACAGUUGUGGAGGUACCUACGGCGGCGCCGAGACUCGAGGACAUCCCAGUAGUCCGCGAGUUUUCGGAUGUGUUUCCCCCUGAGUUGACGACAUUGCCGCCGGAGAGGGAGAUUGAGUUUGUGAUUGAUGUAGUUCCUGGAACUGCACCAAUCUCAAAGGUACCUUACAGGAUGGCACCGGCAGAGCUGAGAGAGCUAAAGGCGCAACUUCAGGAUCUGAUGGAUAGAGGGUUUGUGAGACCCAGUGUGUCGCCUUGGGGAGCGCCGGUGUUAUUUGUAAAGAAGAAGGAUGGUUCGCUCAGGUUAUGUGUGGAUUACCGGGAGCUGAAUAAAGUGACCAUCAAGAACAAGUAUCCUCUGCCGCGCAUUGAUGAUCUAUUCGAUCAGCUGCAAGGAUCUUGUGUCUUUUCGAAGAUUGAUCUCCAGUCAGGUUACCACCAGCUGAGGGUGAGGGCCGAGGAUGUUCCCAAGACGGCUUUUCGGACUCGGUACGGGCAUUAUGAGUUCACGGUGAUGCCUUUUGGAUUGACGAAUGCCCCUGCCGCAUUCAUGGAUUUGAUGAACAGAGUGUUCAAGCCGUUCUUGGAUAGGUUUGUGGUAGUCUUCAUCGACGAUAUCCUGAUUUACUCCCGGAGUGAUGCUGAGCAUGAGGAGCACUUGAGGAUUGUGCUACAGCUUCUGCGCGAGAAGAAGUUGUAUGCCAAGUUAAAGAAGUGCGAGUUCUGGCUACGGGAGGUUGCUUUCUUGGGCCACGUGAUUUCAGCUGAGGGCGUAGCAGUGGACCCGAAGAAGAUUGAGGCGAUUCGAGAUUGGCCUAGACCGACGACGGUUACUGAGGUACGGAGCUUCCUGGGACUGGCAGGAUAUUACCGUCGGUUUGUGGAAGGCUUUGCGAAGCUUUCCACACCCCUCACACGCUUGACGCGGAAGGGGAUUCGUUUUGUCUGGAGCGACGACUGUCAGAGGAGCUUUGACGAGUUGAGAUUGAGGUUGAUGUCGGCUCCUAUCCUUGCCCUUCCUGUUAUGGGCGAAGGAUUUGUGAUCUACAGUGAUGCAUCGCACAGUGGACUUGGUUGCGUGCUGAUGCAGCAUGGUAGGGUGAUUGCUUAUGCUUCACGGCAGUUAAAGGAUUAUGAGAAGAAUUACCCUACGCAUGACUUGGAGCUUGCCGCGGUGGUUUUUGCUUUGAAGCUCUGGCGGCAUUACUUGUACGGCGAGCACUGCGAGAUUUUUACUGAUCAUAAAAGUCUCAAGUAUCUGUUCACCCAAAAGGAGUUGAAUUUGAGACAGCGCCGGUGGUUGGAGUUGCUGAAGGAUUAUGACAUCAGUAUCCAGUAUCAUCCCGGCAAGGCGAAUGUGGUGGCAGAUGCGUUGAGCAGGAAGGCAGUGCAGAGCUUGAGUAUGUUGAUCACUCGGCAGAGACCGUUACUCGAGGAGCUGAGACGGCUGGGACUCGAGGUAGUGUCCCCUGGAUUUACUGCGAGAUUGAUGUCUAUGAUCUUGCAGCCCACUCUGUUAGAUAGGAUUCGAGAGAAACAGAGUGGGGAUCCACACUUGUCGAGGAUUCGAGAGCAGCUUGAGAGGGGACAGGCCGAGGGCUUUGUUGUGGACAGUUCGGGAGUACUGCGGUACAGGGACCGACUGUGUGUACCUAUGGAUUCAGAGAUCCGAGAGGACAUCUUGAGAGAGGCUCACUGUUCACCUUAUACGGUUCACCCCGGUGGAACCAAAAUGUAUAAGGAUUUAAAGGCUCAGUUUUGGUGGAAUGGAAUGAAGAGGGACAUUGGUAGAUUUGUGGCUCAGUGUCUGACUUGUCAACAGGUAAAGGCCGAGCAUCAGGUACCUGCUGGCAAGCUUCAGAGUCUACCAGUGCCCGAGUGGAAAUGGGAGCAGAUCACGAUGGACUUUGUCGUCGGAUUGCCGAGAGCACAGGGUGGUUUUGAUGCGAUUUGGGUGAUAGUGGACAGACUGACCAAGUCUGCUCACUUCUUACCAGUGCAGACCACUUGGUCCAGAGAGAGACUCGCUCAGUUGUACUUGGAUGAGAUAGUGAGGUUGCAUGGCGUGCCCACUUCGAUAGUAUCCGACCGGGACCCGAGGUUCGUAUCGCACUUCUGGAGGAGUCUUCAGACGGCCUUGGGCACUCAGUUGCAGUUCAGCACAGCAUUUCACCCACAGACAGAUGGUCAGUCAGAGCGGACCAUUCAGACUCUAGAGGACAUGCUGAGGGCAUGUGUCUUGGACUUUGGAGGAGGGUGGUAUCGGCAUUUGAGACUGGUUGAGUUUGCGUACAACAACAGCUAUCAAGCGAGCAUCCGGAUGGCUCCGUUUGAGGCGUUGUAUGGACGCAGAUGUCGAUCCCCUUUGUUUUGGAGUGAUGUGGGUGAGAGGAGGACGCUUGGGCCUGAGAUUCUGAUUGAGGCUGAGGAAAAGGUAAAAGAGGCGCGACGGCACAUAUUAGCAGCCCAGAGUCGACAGAGGAGCUAUGCUGAUACCCGGAGACGAGACUUGGAGUUCCAGGUGGGAGAUCAUGUUUUUCUUAAAGUCUCGCCGUCCAGAGGGAUUCGCCGAUUUGGUGUACGUGGAAAGCUCAGUCCACGUUUUGUAGGCCCUUUCGAGGUAUUGGAGCGAGUCGGGCCAGUUGCUUACAGGAUUGCUCUACCACCACGGCUAGCCGGCAUUCAUGAUGUGUUCCACGUCUCGGCUUUGAGGAAAUAUGUGUUCGACCCCUCCCACGUGAUCGACUUCACUCCGCUUGAGAUUGGCGAGGACCUGAGCUACGAGGAGCGACCGGUGCGGAUUCUGGCUCGUGAGUCGAGGGAAUUGCGCAACCGGGUCAUACCCUUUGUAAAGGUGCAGUGGAGUAAUCACGAGGAGCGGGAGGCGACUUGGGAGCCGGAGGCGGUGAUGAAGGAGUCCUACCCCUACCUGUUUGAGGCCCUGGAUUGAGGUAUGUGUACAGUUUCGCGGACGAAACUUUUUGUAGUGGGGGAGGAUGUAGUGUUCCUGAGCUUUGGAUAGGAUUGGCUUCAGUAUUAUAGACUGGUCGACAUCUCUGGAGAGUGUCGGACUGAGUCGGAGUCAAUUCUGCACGAAUUGGAUGCAGAAUUGGACUCGGCGCACUCAAAUAAGCAAAACUGGAGUUUUGCCAGAUUCGGGCGCCCAGAACAUUGUUAGGGUCGCCCAGAAACGAGUGUUGAAUUUAACUGAAACUGGAAGCCAAUUCGGAUCCCAUGUUCCGGGCGCCCAGAAGUGGGUCCGGAAAUUUCACCUCGUGAAUAUCGCUUGCUUCGACGCGUGGCAGGGCGGUAGGUGAGUUCCGCCGGUGCCGUUUACGGGCGCAGCACACCGCGGGCGGAGAGUCCGAGGGGCCCAUUUUGUGCAGGCCGGAUGUUCUGGUCGCCCAGAACAUGGUUCCGGGCGCCCAGAAACGCCCGUUUCUGCAGGGGCACUGGAUUGCGGCUAUUUUUCCUGGGGCUUAUCUGAUCUAUCCAGCAGCCUAUAAAUAGCUGAGAAGCGCCCCCUUUGAGCUCUUUUACCUGUUCUUCACAGAGGACUUAGAUUUUACUCCCAAAUCCCUCAAAUCUUUCCAAUUUGCAUCAAGAUCCACCUCUCCAAGAAUUGCAAGGUGCUGAUUUUGCAGUUCUUCAGCGACGACCUCCAGUGUUUUGGCUCGUGCGUGACGUAGGAAGGUCGGAUUUCAACGAAACUUGGUUUGCUGGAUUCUUGACUUCCAGAGGAAUCCACGAAGCCCUAAUUUGCAGAAUUUGGUGAAGGUUAGCUCAGUCGAACUCAGGUUUUCCUCUGCUGUUGUUGCUUUGGACAGAAUUUGCCAAUUUUUGAUGUUUUCUUGGGGUGAACUUGGGAAGCAGGGGCUUUGUGGAGUUGAGUUAUUUUCCCUAUCACCCAGUACUGGAAUUGGGACCCUCUCCACCUGAUUUGGAGUUCGUUUGGUGAGUUUUGACAUUGGAAUUGAGAUAUUUAAGCUUAAAUGCUGUUUUGCUGAAAUUCAUCGUCGACUGUUAGUAUUUCAGCUCGUACUCGACGUAGGAGCAUCGGAUUUCGUCGAGACUUGAUUCGUUGGUUUCGGGACUGCGAGAAGAAUCCACGAAGUCCUUACUUGUGGAUUUUGGUGAAGGUUAGCUUGGUCGAAACCCUUCUCUUCUCUGCUGCUGUGUACUUGGACUGAAUUGUGGAUUUUGAUGAUUUUUAUUGGAUUUUUGGGUGCAUUGUAAAUCCAGAUCUUAAGGGGCUUUGUUGCUGGUUUGAAGAGGUUUCCAGCAGUGUUGCUUGAGGAUCCGAGACCCUAUUGCUGCCAGGAAUUGCAUUAGAGGUGGGUGUUUCAUCGGUUUCGCUCCUAAGUGCAUGUUAGUCAACGUGUAUAGUUCGAGUGUUGUAAAUCAUGCUUUAAUUCAUCGAUUAGCAUUUUGAAUGUAAUAUGAAUGUAGAAGCAUGCUGAAAUGAAUAUUUAAAUUAUACAUGUUGGACUUGAAAUUUGACUUAGGAGAAAACCUGCGUUUUGACCCGUCAUAUGCUUAAACUACCAGAUUUAGCUCUAGGAGCCGUGUUCGAUUGUAUCGUUGCCGAGUCAGUGCAAUGGAUACCUUGGGUAGUUUAGAAUGUAUUUACACUCGUGCUGGUUCGCCGAGUGAAUUUUUGCAGGGUCGUUCAGGCCGUUUCGGACUGUUGGGUGCCGUCAGAGUUGACGGUGGACCGUAUCGCCUUUUUGGCGUCAGAUUGUGCCGAGGGCACGUUACCUGUUGGUUGUUAGACCAGUUUAAGUCGAUUACUUGACUUUGGCUAGUUGGAGCCUGAUUGAGCUCGACAGAGAUACGCUGCAUACUCGGUUGGGUAGCGCCCACGAGUGCCACUCCGGAGUCAGGCUUUGUGCUUUCGCGUUGGUGUCGCUCAUGCCAGUUGGACUUGCUCUCCACGGACCAGUUAGUGUGGAUAGAGCCCGAUAGUCGCAACGGGGCAGGGACGGGUGUGUUCACAGUCCCAGGGACGGGUAUGUCUACAGUCCCGAUUGGAUUGGGUCAGAUUUGACAUUUCCUACAGUUGGUUAGUGUAGAGCAUGAUAGUAUAGUGAUUUGUAGCGGUUGAGUUUGUUUCCUGCUUUUCCUACUAUUCUUGCUCCCUCCUGUAGACUUAGUGGGUGGACCGAUGUUGUUUUGGGCGGUACCCACUGAGGACUACUUGUUUUUACAGUAGUUCUCACGCCCAGUUGUUACCUAUGUUUUUGCAGAGCCACAGGUUCCGGCUGCUGCACCGUCCGCGGAUCAGGAUCGAGGCAAGGGCGUUGCGAGUUAGAGCCCUACCCGACGUGCUGAGCUAGAGGUGCUCCUACUGCAGGUAGAUGUUUUGUUUCGAGUUUAUGUACAUAGUGGACUUAACUCGCCAGUGCGAGUAGCUUUGUAUUUUGGAUCUGGACUAUGUAUAUGAAACUAAGUUUGUUUAGCUUCUGUUCUCU
rnacentral:lncRNA from 1 species